rnacentral:pre_miRNA from 1 species
CAAGUACUCCCUUCAUCCGGAAUUACUUGUCAUCAAAAUGGAUGUGUCUAGAACUAAAAUACAUAUAGAUACAUCCAUUUCAAUGACAAGUAUUUUCGGACGGAGGGAGUACAAG